rnacentral:lncRNA from 10 species
GGGUGGUUUUCUCCCAUGCUGGGCCCCCUGUUUCCUGGUCUCCUAUCUUUUUUCUCAGGUUCUUCCCUUGCUCUGCAGGAACACACCCUUUAGUAGCUCCUGUGAAAGGCUAUAUGGAAGAUAAAAUUUUUGAAACUUUGAAUAUCUGAUCAUUCUACCCUCCUACUGCUAGACCUCGGUCCGCCUGGCAACGGGCGUCUUCCCAGAUGCUGGCGUUACCGCUAGACCAAGGAGCCCUCUGGUGGCCCUGUCCGGGCAUAACAGAAGGUUCGCACUCUUGUCUUCUGGUCACUUCUCACUGUGUCCCCUCAGCUCCUAUCUCUGUAUGGCCUGGUUUUUCCUAGGUUAUGAUUAUAGAGCGAGGAUUAUUAUAAUAUUGGAAUAUAGAGUAAUUGCUACAAACUAAUGAUUAAUGAUAUUCAUAUAUAAUCAUAUCUAAGAUCUACAUCUGGUAUAACUAUUCUUGUUUUAUAUUUUAUUAUACUGGAACAGCUCGUGUCCUC